rnacentral:rRNA from 1 species
CUCGGCCUCAGAUCAGACAAGGCUACCCGCUGAAUUUAAGCAUAUUAAUAAGCGGAGGAAAAGAAACUAACAAGGAUUCCCCUAGUAACGGCGAGUGAAGCGGGAUCAGCUCAAAUUUAAAAUCUCCGUUGCUUGCAACGGCGAAUUGUAGUUUCGAGAAGCGCUUUCUAGGCGGACCGCCUGCGCCUAAGUUGCUUGGAACAGCACGUCAUAGAGGGUGACAACCCCGUCUGUGGCGUAGGCGGCCGCUCACGAUGUGCUUUCGAAGAGUCGGGUUGUUUGGGAAUGCAGCCCAAAAUGGGUGGUAAACUCCAUCUAAAGCUAAAUAUUGGCACGAGACCGAUAGCGAACAAGUACCGUGAGGGAAAGAUGAAAAGGACUUUGGAAAGAGAGUUAAAAAGUACGUGAAACCGUUAAAAGGGAAACGAAUGGAGCUAGCAAUGCACCCAGUGAGAUUCAGCCUGUAGGUGGCUAGGGCGCGCUGUUUGCAGAUCUGAAUUGACUGCUGCAGUGCGGUUCGAGCUCCCUGCCGUCGCACUUCUCGCGGGCGCGCGUCAACAUGGGUUGGGACCGGGUCUUAAAGGCACCGGCAAGGUAGGUCCGUACCUCCGGGUACGUACUGUUCUAGGCCGACGUUCUCGCGGCCCGGGCCCGACCGAGGCGAUGCAGCACAUGCCUCUUGUGGCUGGGGUCCCGUUCUUCCGGUUGGUUGUCGACUGUGGUGGACUGCGUGCAGUGCACCACGACCGCUGCCGGUCGCUUGGGCGGUGACUUCGCAUGAUGUGCUUAGGAUGUUGGCGGUCAUAUGGCUUCAUCCGACCCGUCUUGAAACACGGACCAAGGAGUCUACCAUAUGCGCGAGUCUUUGGGUGAUUGAAACCCGCGGGCACAAUGAAAGUGAAGGCGGCUCCGGCCUGCCGAGGUGAGAACCUCCCCUCUCGGGGUGGCGCAUCAUCGACCGACCUAUUCUACUCUUAGGAAGGUUUGAGUAAGAGCGCAUUUGUUGGGACCCGAAAGAUGGUGAACUAUGCCUGAAUAGGGUGAAGCCAGAGGAAACUCUGGUGGAGGCUCGUAGCGAUUCUGACGUGCAAAUCGAUCGUCAAAUUUGGGUAUAGGGGCGAAAGACUAAUCGAACUGUCUAGUAGCUGGUUCCCUCCGAAGUUUCCCUCAGGAUAGCAGGAGCUCUUUGCAGUUUUAUCAGGUAAAGCGAAUGAUUAGAGGUCUUAGGGUUAAAACAACCUUAACCUAUUCUCAAACUUUAAAUUGGUAAGAAGUCCGACUUGCUCAAUUGAAGCCGGACGUGGAAUGCGAGUUCCUAGUGGGCCAUUUUUGGUAAGCAGAACUGGCGAUGCGGGAUGAACCGAACGCCGAGUUAAGGUGCCAAAGU